GUUAUUUUGUUGCAGACACUAUCAUGAUGUUAUCGCGUGUGCAAUUUAAGGAUACGUGUGGGGCGUUGUCAAAUCAAAGGUCAACGAAACCACCACAACAGCAAAGACUGCCUGAAAGCUUCCAUUGUCGAGGUGAAGUGUGCAUGUCAGAGUUUCCGGACCCGCCUGGAAAAGGUUGUAGCAGCAGAUGGCAGCUACAUAGAGUAAUUGCAAUUGUAAAUAAUGUAAAUAUGUUUUCAUCUAGUUUUCUUUAUAAUAAAUUUAUUUUUUCUUGCAAUUUUGUCAUUUUUAAUUACAUCCCGAUUUUUCUGAAUUUAC
rnacentral:lncRNA from 1 species